rnacentral:lncRNA from 1 species
CAAAGUGAAAGUUCAAUUGAGCGAAGUCAAAAUUGGGGACGACCGAACCUGAGAAAAGCAAAACAGAGCAAAGGACCGUGCCACUGGAAAUACAGGCCAUUCACGACUAAAGUUUUGAAUUUCAAACUGCACACUAAAAUCACAUAUUCAACGGAUGGGAUUAAUUCAGAACGGACAAAUUCAAUGCAUUUAAUGUUGCAACAUCUCUAUUCAUAUUGGGGUCUUUAAAAUCAACCAUUGGGAUUGUUGAAAACACAAUGAAGUGUUCUAAAAUUGUAUUUCUCAUAGCAUUCAAUACUUCAAUCUUUCUUGAGCAUUCAUUAUGAUUUUUUGACUUUGAUCAAAAAUAAAUUGUGAGUUAUAAAAAAAAAAGGUUUUAUUUUUUUCGUGUAUCCAAUUAAAAAAUAUACCCAAUUUUAUAAGUUUUUUGGUCAUUGAAUCAUAACUUAUGUGGGACCAAUACAAAUAUUUUUUUUUAAAUGUUAUGCUUAUCAUAUGAUGUAACUCAUAACUCUUAGAUAUAAUAAUUUGAAUUUCGGGAUCACUAAAUUAGUGGUUAUGAGGUAAGCUAUAUCAAAAGAUAAAUAAAAAGAGUAAAAGCAAAUGACAACAUAGCAUUGCUUUUUCCAUUUUUAUGUACUAAUAACGAUAUACAGUAUUUUUUCCAUAAAACAAUUAUGCAAAAUGAUACAUUUCAUUGUUCUCCAUUCAUUUCGGAACACAAGACAAAUUCCAGCACUUUUAAUUUUUAGUCAGUCAUAUUUUUUUAUAGUAUUAAUUUUCACAACAUAAUUUACAAUGAGAACAUUUUGAACCAUCAAAAUCAGGUCAAAAUAUACUCAGAUUGCACAGUCGAGUCUAACUGUGGCUUGCCCUUUUUUCCCAAAAAAAAAAAAACAAAUCCUCUCACUUCUUUGAGCUCCUUCAAAAAAUGUCUGUUCAUCUUGAUCCAUAAGAGUCCACUGACUACAGACAGGAUGCCUUGCAUAACAAGAGUUGAACCCCUUUUUUAAUCUCUAGCCUUGCGAUCAAUUCAGUAAUUCACUUACUUCCCUGAGAUUUCUAACAAAUGCAAGGACGUUCGCUGUGGUUUUUAAAACUGUACUGCCGUCCCUUACUUUUAUUGAUAUUCUUUAAAUUGUUCCCUCCCGUCAAAACCGCCCUAACGACGUUAUGUUUGGAAUCUAAAUGACACAACUAGCAUUUCAAAAAAUAUCUAGGAAAGAUUACCAAUAAAUAUGAUUACUAUAAAGUCUAAUCAAUUUUUUCCUUACUAUAAAGUUCUCAAUUUUCGUUGGCACAAUAAGCAGUUCUAAUCUAAGAUAAUUCUGAUAACUUAUUUUUUUUCCCAAAAAAAAAAAAAAUGUUCAACUUUUUUUUAUAGUGGCAUAUCUUAUUCCAAUGUUAACCCCACUAAAUGUAAAUUAUCAUAGUACUCGUGGUAUGAAAUAAUAAUUUUAUAGGUAUUAAAAAAGCACAAAAAAUCAUAUAACAAUUUGACAAAAAGAUUAAAAAUACAUUUAUCCUUAUACAAAUUUUAAUGUGGUCACCUGUAUAAUGAAAUUAUUUGAUGUGGUUAUGUAGGUUUUAUUGGAGAAUACAUUUAUCCUUAAACAAAUUAUAAUUUGAGAACGUAAAGAAUAGUCUAAUAUUAAAAAAUUUUCUAUAUUAACUUUUUUCAUAUAUCUUUUUUUGAGGGGAUAUUACUAUCAUUCUCUAUCAUUCCACUUGAAUCCAUCUUCCUCACCAUUGAAGCGCGCCACCACCACCACAUCUACCACCUCACUUGAAUCGCAUAUCCACCUUUAUUGAAAGCCACCACUCUUCAAUAUUGAUCAGCCCUUUUUUCCUAACUCACAACCCCUUUCCAAUUCUUCAAAUCUAACACCUUAAUCCUUCAAGAGUUUUAGGGAGUGAAGAGGGUUGUAGUAGGAGGUGAAAGGUAGAGGUGGGUCAUGAUAAGAAUUGGUAGUAGAAGGUAGAGCCGUAGAGGCCAAGGAAGGUACCAAUAGAAGUUUAAGGUCUUGGAAAGUAGUGGCUUGGAUCCCCUUAUAAUUUUCUCUCUAUUUCUCUAGAAAUUUUGAUAAUAAACAAAGGGUAUUUUAGUAACUCUGUAAUUAAGUUAAACAUUGUUUGCUAAUAGAAGGCUCUAAUGUGAUUUUAUAGAAUAAAGGGGAUUUAGUGUAAUUUCAGAUGAAUUCAUGGGGUGUCAGUGAAAUUUAUCCUUCUUUUUUGAACAAUGGUAUUACAAAUAUUAUUUUUGCUUUUUUUUAUUUACCAAAUAAUGUUGCGUAUUCACAAACAUGAUAUAAUUAUUUCAAUAACUGAUCAAUUAUAUUCAAAAAUUAUGUAUUAUAUUUCAUAUAAGAUGAUAAAUUAAAAUAAUAAAAAUAAGAGAUAAUCAUAACAUUUUUUACUUUUUAUUUUUUAUUUUAUCCGGGAACAUGCAUGCACUGAUGACUUUUGUGGGCAAUAAAAAAUUUGUUUUUUUGUUUAGAUGGAGAAAUGUCCUAAAGCGAAGCCAAUGUGUAGUUGGUGGACAUCUUUUUGGGUCAACCUAACGUCUUCUGCACGAGUCAAUGUUUUGAAUCGCAGUGCACUGUGGAGACAACCCGACAAGUAUUGACUUCAUCACUGAAAAUAAAUAAAUAAAAGGUCUAAUUAAGAGAGACGAACAUGAGAGGCUCUUACAUAAUGCUAGGAUGUUUCCCUUGAGUAUCAGGAAGACUUUUGAGGAGAGAGAGAUGGCUCACAACUUUUUAUCCGAUAGAAAUUGAGAGAGAGUGUGAGGGAAUUUCUGUAUUAUAUUUCGUGAAUCAUUAUUAUGUAUAAGAGUUUUCUUUAUACAGAGAAAUAUCGGUAAGGUAUUAUUUACAGAAAGGUAAUAGUAAUAAUGUAAAUAUGGUAUUGUAUCAAUCAAAAUAUAUUCUGUAUCAGAAUAGAUACAGAAUAUAUUCUGAAUAUAUAUAUGGUAAAUGUAUAUAUGCUAAACAUGAUAUAUGGGGGUAAAAUAUUAGAUGCUAACAUCCCCCUUAAACUAAGGUGGUAUAAGCUGGAGACCAACUUGAUUGGAAGAAGAUCCCGAAAAGCGGCUUGUAGGAUGAGUUUUGGUAAAGAAAUCAGCAAGGGAUCAAUAGAAGCGAACGGGCGGGACAGAUGCAAAAACUUCCUACUUAGAUGAUGGCGGUAUAAAGUAGCAGUCGAUCUCGAUGUGUUUAGUUAUUUCAUGAGAAAAGUUAUUGUGAGCAAUUAAAUAGCGCGUGGUAGAUCACAAUGAAGAACAAUAGAAGGAGAAUCGAUGCCCAAGUCUUGAUGAGCCAGUGAGUCAAAAGUAACUUAGAUGUCGUGUCUGCGAAGGCACAAUAUUCAGCAUCUGUAUUGAUCGAGCAACAACAGAAUUUUUUUAUUGGCCCAUGAGAUCAACGGCAUACCAACAAAGAAGCAAUAGCCAGUAGUGACACGAUGAUCAGUGGGGGUCGCCACUGCCCCAAAGAAUCUGAAUAGCACGAAGAGUCAGAGAUGGAUCGUGACAAAAAAAUGAAUGGCGUUGAAAACUCUUGAAUAACAGUAAAAUCCUCAAGGCUGUAGCAUAGUGAGUGGACGAAGAGCAGACAUAAAGUUGACUGACAAUAUGCACGGCAUGUAGAGAAUCGGGUCGUGGGUAACAAUAAGAUAAAUCAGACUAGCAACAAGCUGGCGAUAUAUAGCGUAGAUUCAAUCAGAAAGUGAUUCACCUAAAAGUAUUUAAACGACAUUAUUUUCUAUGAUGUGUCGACGCUUGUUAUCUAGUGAUCCACGCACGAGACAAAGAAUCAAAAGCAAGCAUAUUUGGUUUUGAGAAGAUAAUAUCUAUCGAGUAUAUAGGACAUCUCAAUGCCCCGAAAAAAUAGCUUAGAUUUGCCCCACUCCUUCAUUCAUCAACUGCAGACUUGAGAAACUUUUUAAGAGUUGGCAAUAUACCAUCCAGAUCAUCACCAGUAAUAAUCAUGCCUCACCAUAUAAGAAGAAGAAUCAGUGCCCUUAGUAGACUUUUCUUGAGACAAGAGUGCCAAUUAAAAGUGCUAGAAGAGAACCCAAGCUGAAAAUAGUGGAACUGAAUUUAAAAAGUAAACUAGCUCGAGAGGCCCUUUUUAAGACCAUAACAGAGCCCACAUUAGCCGACAGACCUUAUGAGGAGCAGAGCUACAGGGGAGGACAGUAUAUAUACUUCAUCUUGCAAUCACCAUUGAGAAGACAUUUUCACAUCCAUUUGAAAGAUACCCACCUCCAUCCACGAACUGUCCACAAACAUUAGCAAUAAGGGUACGAACAAGAGGUAGGCGAGCAAUAUCAGGAGUAAAAGUCCUCAUCCAUAAUCAAUCUCCUAUUUCUAGUAACAGCCACGGGCACCAGACGUGCUUUGUACCUAUGAACAAAGUGUCAUCUGCCUGAGUCUUAAUCUUAUAUACCAUUUGCAUCCCACUUUAGAUUUUCCAGACGGUAAUUCAACUUGUCCCAUGUAUGGUUGUAUCAAGAGCAUCCAAUCUCAUCUUUCAAUAACUCUCUGCCAAUCGGGUUAGAGGCAGGCUUCACGAAAAAGACUGCGAGGAUCAUGCAAAGUAGAAAGAGAAAAUAACAAUGAUAACCAUGAAGAUGAGAGGGUACGGUUCUUACUUUGGUGGAACAACGAACAGGGGGACAAGAAACGGAUGGCGGAGACGCUGGCGGGGAAGCAUUGGGAACGUCCAUGGUACGGGAUGGUAGACUUAGUGAAGAUAGAGAACCUGCAGAAGGCGGAGAAGUAAUGCUUAGCUCUUUACAAUGGUUGAAUGUCGUGUCUAUUUAUGUUUCAGCUCUUAAGUGUAAGAGCCUACCGAAGCAGCACUUUACUCGCAAGUAUGAGAUCGAAUCCACAGGGAAAUUUAGUACAGUUUGAUUGUUGUAAAUAUAACUUGAUAAAAAUAAAAGUUGUAAAAGUUUGAUUUGUUUUGGGAAUGAUGAGAUUGUUUAUCUUUACACUU